rnacentral:rRNA from 1 species
AACUAUGCCUGGUCAGAACGAAGUCAGGGGAAACUCUGAUGGAGGUUCGUAGCGAUUCUGACGUGCAAAUCGAUCGUCGGAACUGGGUAUAGGGGCGAAAGACUAAUCGAACCAUCUAGUAGCUGGUUCCCUCCGAAGUUUCCCUCAGGAUAGCUGGCGCUUGAUUAAAUCAGUCUCAUCCGGUAAAGCGAAUGAUUAGAGGCCUUGGGGCCGAAACGACCUCAACCUAUUCUCAAACUUUAAAUGGGUGAGAAGUCAGGCUUGCUUAAUCGAAGCUCUGACAAUGGAUGGUGAGUGCCAAGUGGGCCACUCUUGGUAAGCAGGACUGGCGCUGUGGGAUGAACCAAACGUUGGGUUAAGGCGCCCGAAUCGACGCUCAUCAGAUCCCAUAAAAGGCGUUGGUGCUAAGACAGCAGA